AGGACGAACGCUGGCGGCGUGCUUAACACAUGCAAGUCGAGCGGUAAGGCUCCUUCGGGAGUACACGAGCGGCGAACGGGUGAGUAACACGUGAGCAAUCUGCCCUCCACACUGGGAUAACCUUCGGAAACGAGGACUAAUACCGGAUACGACCACUUCAGACAUCUGAUGGUGGUGGAAAGCUCCGGCGGUGGAGGAUGAGCUCGCGGCCUAUCAGCUUGUUGGUGAGGUAACGGCUCACCAAGGCUUCGACGGGUAGCCGGCCUGAGAGGGUGACCGGCCACACUGGGACUGAGACACGGCCCAGACUCCUACGGGAGGCAGCAGUGGGGAAUAUUGGACAAUGGGCGAAAGCCUGAUCCAGCAACGCCGCGUGAGGGAUGACGGCCUCGGUUGUAACCGUCUUCAGCAGGACGAAGCGCAAGUGACGGUACCGUGCAGAAGAAGCACCGGCCAACUACGUGCCAGCAGCCGC
rnacentral:rRNA from 1 species